rnacentral:rRNA from 1 species
UACGUAGGGGGCAAGCGUUGUCCGGAAUCAUUGGGCGUAAAGCGCGUGUAGGCGGUUCAGUAAGUCUGCUGUGAAAGUCCAGGGCUCAACCCUGGGAUGCCGGUGGAUACUGCUGGACUAGAGUGCGGAAGAGGCGAGUGGAAUUCCCGGUGUAGCGGUGAAAUGCGCAGAUAUCAGGAGGAACACCGGUGGCGAAGGCGGGUCUCUGGGCAACAACUGACGCUGAGGAGCGAAAGCGUGGGGAGCGAACAGG